UACGUAGGGCGCAAGCGUUGUCCGGAAUUAUUGGGCGUAAAGAGCUCGUAGGCGGUUUGUCGCGUCUGCUGUGAAAACCUAAGGCUCAACCUUGGGCUUGCAGUGGGUACGGGCAGACUAGAGUGCGGUAGGGGUGACUGGAAUCCUGGUGUAGCGGUGGAAUGCGCAGAUAUCAGGAGGAACACCGAUGGCGAAGGCAGGUCACUGGGCCGCAACUGACG
rnacentral:rRNA from 1 species